GUUGUAUGGUUAAGUGACUAAGCGUACAUGGUGGAUGCCUUGGCAGUCAGAGGCGAUGAAGGACGUACUAACCUGCGAUAAGCUGUGAGAAGUCGGUAAGAGACGCUAUUACUCACAGAUUUCCGAAUGGGGAAACCCACCCAAGAUAACUUGGGUAUCUGUUACUGAAUACAUAGGUAACAGAGGCGAACCGGGAGAACUGAAACAUCUAAGUACCCCGAGGAAAAGAAAUCAACCGAGAUUCCCUCAGUAGCGGCGAGCGAACGGGGAUUAGCCCUUAAGCAUCUUGGAAGUUAGUGGAACGGUCCUGGAAAGGCCGGCGAUACAGGGUGAUAGCCCCGUACACGAAAACAACCUUGAUGUGAAAUCGAGUAGGGCGGGACACGUGACAUCCUGUCUGAAUAUGGGGGGACCAUCCUCCAAGGCUAAAUACUCCUGACUGACCGAUAGUGAACCAGUACCGUGAGGGAAAGGCGAAAAGAACCCCUGUGAGGGGAGUGAAAUAGAACCUGAAACCGUGUACGUACAAGCAGUGGGAGCCCUUCGGGGUGACUGCGUACCUUUUGUAUAAUGGGUCAGCGACUUACAUUUUGUAGCGAGGUUAACCGUAUAGGGGAGCCGUAGGGAAACCGAGUCUUAACUGGGCGUCUAGUUGCAAGGUGUAGACCCGAAACCGGGUGAUCUAGCCAUGGGCAGGUUGAAGGUUGAGUAACAUCAACUGGAGGACCGAACCCACUAACGUUGCAAAGUUAGGGGAUGACCUGUGGCUGGGGGUGAAAGGCCAAUCAAACUCGGAGAUAGCUGGUUCUCCCCGAAAGCUAUUUAGGUAGCGCCUCGGACGAAUACUACUGGGGGUAGAGCACUGUUUGGGCUAGGGGGUCAUCCCGACUUACCAACCCCAUGCAAACUCCGAAUACCAGUAAGUAAUAUCCGGGAGACACACGGCGGGUGCUAACGUCCGUCGUGAAGAGGGAAACAACCCAGACCGCCGGCUAAGGUCCCAAAGUUCUGGUUAAGUGGGAAACGAUGUGGGAAGGCUCAGACAGCUAGGAUGUUGGCUUAGAAGCAGCCAUCAUUUAAAGAAAGCGUAAUAGCUCACUAGUCGAGUCGGCCUGCGCGGAAGAUGUAACGGGGCUCAAACCAGGCACCGAAGCCGCGGAUUCACACUUAUGUGUGAGUGGUAGGGGAGCGUUCUGUAAGUCUGCGAAGGUGUAUCGAGAGGUAUGCUGGAGAUAUCAGAAGUGCGAAUGCUGACGUAAGUAACGAUAAAGGGGGUGAAAAGCCUCCUCGCCGGAAGACCAAGGGUUCCUGUCCAACGUUAAUCGGGGCAGGGUGAGUCGACCCCUAAGGCGAGGCCGAAAGGCGUAGUCGAUGGGAAGCAGGUUAAUAUUCCUGCACGACUUGUAAUUGCGAUGGGGGGACGGAGAAGGCUAGGUGGGCCAGGCGACGGUUGUCCUGGUGAAAGUGCGUAGGUGGUGUUUGUAGGCAAAUCCGCAGACACAACGCUGAGACACGAGACGAACACACUACGGUGUGGAAGCCAUUGAUGCCCUGCUUCCAGGAAAAGCCUCUAAGCUUCAGAUUACAAGUCAUCGUACCCCAAACCGACACAGGUGGUCGGGUAGAGAAUACCAAGGCGCUUGAGAGAACUCGGGUGAAGGAACUAGGCAAAAUAGAACCGUAACUUCGGGAGAAGGUUCGCUCUUGAUGGUGAAGUCCCUUGCGGAUGGAGCUGUCGGGAGUCGCAGUGACCAGAUGGCUGGGACUGUUUAUCAAAAACACAGCACUCUGCAAACACGAAAGUGGACGUAUAGGGUGUGACACCUGCCCGGUGCCGGAAGGUUAAUUGAUGGGGUUAGCGCAAGCGAAGCUCUUGAUCGAAGCCCCGGUAAACGGCGGCCGUAACUAUAACGGUCCUAAGGUAGCGAAAUUCCUUGUCGGGUAAGUUCCGACCUGCACGAAUGGUGUAACCAUGGCCAUGCUGUCUCCACCCGAGACUCAGUGAAAUCGAAUUCGCCGUGAAGAUGCGGUGUACCCGCGGCUAGACGGAAAGACCCCGUGAACCUUUACUACAGCUUGGCACUGAACAUUGAACCUACAUGUGUAGGAUAGGUGGGAGGCUUUGAAGGCGUGACGCCAGUUGCGCUGGAGCCGUCCUUGAAAUACCACCCUUGUAUGUUUGAUGUUCUAACGCAGGGCCCUGAAUCGGGCUCGCGGACAGUGCCUGGUGGGUAGUUUGACUGGGGCGGUCUCCUCCCAAAGAGUAACGGAGGAGCACGAAGGUUGGCUAAUCCUGGUCGGACAUCAGGAGGUUAGUGCAAUGGCAUAAGCCAGCUUAACUGCGAGACGGACAGGUCGAGCAGGUACGAAAGUAGGUCAUAGUGAUCCGGUGGUUCUGAAUGGAAGGGCCAUCGCUCAACGGAUAAAAGGUACUCCGGGGAUAACAGGCUGAUACCGCCCAAGAGUUCAUAUCGACGGCGGUGUUUGGCACCUCGAUGUCGGCUCAUCACAUCCUGGGGCUGAAGUCGGUCCCAAGGGUAUGGCUGUUCGCCAUUUAAAGUGGUACGCGAGCUGGGUUCAGAACGUCGUGAGACAGUUCGGUCCCUAUCUGCCGUGGGCGUUGGAUGAUUGAAGGGAGUUGCUCCUAGUACGAGAGGACCGGAGUGAACGAACCUCUGGUGUUCGGGUUGUCACGCCAGUGGCACUGCCCGGUAGCUAAGUUCGGAAUCGAUAACCGCUGAAAGCAUCUAAGCGGGAAGCGAGCCCUGAGAUGAGUCAUCCCUGACCCCUUGAGGGUCCUAAAGGGCCGUUGGAGACCACAACGUUGAUAGGUGGGGUGUGUAAGCGCGGCGACGUGUUGAGCUAACCCAUACUAAUUACCCGUGAGGCUUAACCAUACAACACCCAAGAAGUGUUCU
rnacentral:rRNA from 1 species